GUUCCGGGGGAAGUAUGGUUGCAAAGCUGAAACUUAAAGGAAUUGACGGAAGGGCACCACCAGGAGUGGAGCCUGCGGCUUAAUUUGACUCAACACGGGAAAACUCACCCGGCCCGGACACCGUUAGGAUUGACAGAUUGAUAGCUUUUUCAUGAUUCGGUGGUUGGUGGUGCAUGGCCGUUCUUAGUUCGUGGAUCGAUUUGUCUGGUUUAUUCCGAUAACGAGCGAGACUCCAGCCUACUAACUAGUGCGGGCGUUGUUUCUGCGCUCUUCGCACUUCUUAGAGGGAUUGGCUGCGUCUAGCGGCACGAAACGGAGCAAUAACAGGUCUGUGAUGCCCUUAGAUGUCCGGGGCUGCACGCGCGCUACACUGGCAAAGGCAGCGUGCUUGUCCUGCACCGAAAGGUGUGGGUAAACCAUUGAAAAUUUGCCGUGAUUGGGAUCGGAAAUUGCAAUUAUUUUCCGUGAACGAGGAAUUCCUAGUAAGUGCGAGUCAUCAGCUCGCGUUGAUUACGUCCCUGCCCUUUGUACACACCGCCCGUCGCUGCCUAGAACUGAGCCAUUUCGAGAAUAUCCGGGAUCGCCGGUCGUGCGUCCUUUCGGGCGCC
rnacentral:rRNA from 1 species